GCGGCGAACGGGUGAGUAACACGUGAGCAACCUGCCCCUGACUCUGGGAUAAGCGGUGGAAACGCCGUCUAAUACCGGAUACGACCCGCCACCUCAUGGUGGAGGGUGGAAAGUUUUUCGGUCAGGGAUGGGCUCGCGGCCUAUCAGCUUGUUGGUGGGGUAACGGCCUACCAAGGCGAUUACGGGUAGCCGGCCUGAGAGGGCGACCGGCCACACUGGGACUGAGACACGG
rnacentral:rRNA from 1 species